CAUCUUGAACUUUAGUAGAUGACUCCCCUUCACUGGUUCCUGGCUGUUUGCUCAAACUUGCUCCAUCCUGCAUCCUUUCAACAUUUGUUGAACCUGUCACUGUUUCAUUGAAACUUGGGGUAACCACCUUUGUAGGAAGUGGUGGCCACUGUUCCAUUGGUUGCUUCCUUGCCAUCUCCUUUGGUGUUUCCUUCACAAUACUACCCUUAG
rnacentral:lncRNA from 1 species